GAGGGAACUGGGGAACAAUUCAAGGGUUCUUACUGCUGUGCUUGCCAUAUUGCUGCGCCAACAAAUCUACUUCGCCAAAGGGACAAAUGGCUUGCGGCAGCCAAGCGUUCAUAGGGACGAUGCUUUUUGAUCCUUCGGUGUCGGCUCCUCCUAUCAUACUGAAGCAGAAUUCAAUAAGUGUCGGAUUGUUCACCCACUAAUAGGGAACAAGAUCUGGGAUUUAUACCGUCGUAAGGCAAGCUAGUUUUAUCCUACUGAUGAAAUGUUGCAAUAGUAAUUGAACUUAAUGCGAGAGGACCCGUUCACUCGGAUAAUUGGUAUCUGGGUCUGCCUGAGAGCAGGCAAUAGCCCGAAUCUACCAUCGUUAGGUUAUCACUGAACGCCUGUAAGUCAGAACCCGUGCUAGAACGCGACGAUUACCGCCUUUUCCGAUUUUUAGUUGAAUACAAAUAGAUCUUCAGAUCCUGAAUCAUAUAGUGAUAGGGUAUGCCAAGGACAGAUAGGCAAUUUGGUGAAGGGAACAAAGGGGCAAAGGAACAGGAUGUAAUGUUUUGCAGAGUAGGGCCCUACCCAUUGUGGCUAUGAAGUGGCAAGAGCUACCUAGCACGGAUUACGACCGCGGGAGCCAGAUGGGCUUUGUACUGAACGGUAAGCCCACUUGGAGAAUGGG
rnacentral:ncRNA from 1 species